AUGACUUAUGGAUUUGGCAUGCUUUCUUUGGAAUGCCGGGUUCUCACAACGACAUCAACGUGCUUCAACGAUCUCCGGUGUUCAGGAGGCUUUGCAAUGGGGAAUCACCGUCGUGCAACUACACUAUCAUCGACCGAGAUUGCAACAUGGGAUACUAUCUUAGCCGAUGGUAUCUAUCCUCAGUGGGUGACGUUUGUGAAGACCAUAUCCGAACCGCAUGGCAAUAAACAGAGCCACUUUGCAACAAUGCAGGAAGCGGCUAGGAAGGAUGUGAAGAGGGCAUUUGGUGUGCUUCAGGCUCAUUGA
rnacentral:rRNA from 1 species